rnacentral:rRNA from 1 species
GUACACUCCUACGGGAGGCAGCAGUGGGGAAUAUUGCACAAUGGGCGCAAGCCUGAUGCAGCGACGCCGCGUGGGGGAUGAAGGCCUUCGGGUUGUAAACUCCUUUCGCUAGGGACGAAGCUUUUUUGUGACGGUACCUAGAUAAGAAGCACCGGCUAACUACGUGCCAGCAGCCGCGGUAAUACGUAGGGUGCGAGCGUUGUCCGGAAUUACUGGGCGUAAAGGGCUCGUAGGUGGUUUGUCGCGUCGUCUGUGAAAUUCUGGGGCUUAACUCCGGGCGUGCAGGCGAUACGGGCAUAACUUGAGUGCUGUAGGGGUAACUGGAAUUCCUGGUGUAGCGGUGAAAUGCGCAGAUAUCAGGAGGAACACCGAUGGCGAAGGCAGGUUACUGGGCAGUUACUGACGCUGAGGAGCGAAAGCAUGGGUAGCGAACAGGAUUAGAUACCCUAGUAGUCCCA